rnacentral:misc_RNA from 1 species
AACGCACAUUGCGCCUCUUGGUAUUCCGGGAGGCAUACCUGUUCGAGCGCCGUUUUCAUACUUCAAGCUUAGCUUGGUGUUGAAUUGUAUUAGGUUUCCUAAUACAUUCAAAACUCAUUGGCAAAAGUCUUUCUAGUCUAGAUGUGACAGAUAUCUCAUCUCCCCAAGAAAGUUCUGAUAGCCAGUAUUUUAGAAAACUUGAUGGCCUCGGAUCAGGUAAGAUUACCCGCUGAACUUAA